AGCCGCGGUAAUUCCAGCUCCAAUAGCGUAUAUUAAAGUUGUUGUGGUUAAAAAGCUCGUAGUUGGAUCUCGGCGGACUGAGGGCGGUUUGCUUGCUAGUAUUACUGCCCUAUAGUCCGUAGUUUUGCCAGAGGUUUCGGGGUGCUCUUAAUCGAGUGUCCCGGGAUGCUGGCAGGUUUACUUUGAAAAAAUUAGAGUGCUCAAAGCAGGCUAUUACGCCUGAAUAUUCGUGCAUGGAAUAAUAGAAUAGGAAGUCGUUUCUAUUUUGUUGGUUUUCGGAAAUCGACUUAAUGAUUAAUAGGGACAGUCGGGGGCAUUUGUAUUCAAACGACAGAGGUGAAAUUCUUGGACCGUUUGAAGACAAACUACUGCGAAAGCAUUUGCCAAGAAUGUUUUCAUUAAUCAAGAACGAAAGUUAAAGGUUCGAAGGCGAUUAGAUACCGCCCUAGUUUUAACCAUAAACGAUGCCAGCUAGCGAUCUGCGGACGUUUUUUUUGUAGACUCCGCAGGAAGCUUCCGGGAAACCAAAGCAUUUGGGUUCCAGGGGAAGUAUGGUUGCAAAGCUGAAACUUAAAGGAAUUGACGGAAGGGCACCACCAGGAGUGGAGCCUGUGGCUUAAUUUGACUCAACACGGGAAAUCUCACCAGGCCCGGACACUGGAAGGAUUGACAGAUUGAUAGCUCUUUCUUGAUUCGGUGGGUGGUGGUGCAUGGCCGUUCUUAGUUGGUGGAGUGAUUUGUCUGGUUAAUUCCGAUAACGAACGAGACUCUGUCCUGCUAAAUAGUGUCUGCUUCUCUUUUGAGCAGACAAUUCUUCUUAGAGGGACUGGCGACUCUUAGUCGCACGAGAUUGAGCAAUAACAGGUCUGUGAUG
rnacentral:rRNA from 1 species